CCUACGGGAGGCAGCAGUGGGGAAUAUUGCGCAAUGGACGAAAGUCUGACGCAGCGACGCCGCGUGUGGGAUGAAGCCUUUCGGGGCGUAAACCACUGUUGCCCGGGACGAACCUCCCCAUUCGUGGGGACUGACGGUACCGGGUGAGGAAGCACCGGCUAACUCUGUGCCAGCAGCCGCGGUAAUACAGAGGGUGCGAGCGUUGUCCGGAAUCACUGGGCGUAAAGGGCGCGUAGGUGGCUUGGUAAGCGUGUGGUGAAAGUCCGGGGCUCAACCCCGGAUCUGCCGUGCGAACUGCCGAGCUUGAGCGAUGUAGAGGCAGGUGGAAUUUCGGGUGUAGCGGUGGAAUGCGUAGAGAUCCGAAAGAACACCAGUGGCGAAGGCGGCCUGCUGGGCAUUUGCUGACACUGAGGCGCGACAGCGUGGGGAGCAAACAGGAUUAGAUACCCUGGUAGUCCACGCCGUAAACGAUGGGUACUAGGUGUCUGGGGGAGCGACCCCCUGGGUGCCGACGCUAACGCAUGAAGUACCCCGCCUGGGGAGUACGGCCGCAAGGCUGAAACUCAAAGGAAUUGACGG
rnacentral:rRNA from 1 species